rnacentral:rRNA from 1 species
CCUACGGGUGGCAGCAGUGAGGAAUAUUGGUCAAUGGGCGAGAGCCUGAACCAGCCAAGUCGCGUGAGGGAGUACUGCCCUAUGGGUUGUAAACCUCUUUUGUCGGGGAGCAAAAGCCGGACGUGUCCGGCUGUGAGAGUACCCGAAGAAAAAGCAUCGGCUAACUCCGUGCCAGCAGCCGCGGUAAUACGGAGGAUGCGAGCGUUAUCCGGAUUUAUUGGGUUUAAAGGGUGCGCAGGCGGGUUUUUAAGUCAGCGGUAAAAUCGUGGGGCUCAACCCCAUCCAGCCGUUGAAACUGGGGAUCUAGAGUGUGCGAGAGGUAUGCGGAAUGCGUGGUGUAGCGGUGAAAUGCAUAGAUAUCACGCAGAACCCCGAUUGCGAAGGCAGCAUACCGGUGCACAACUGACGCUCAGGCACGAAAGCGUGGGUAUCGAACAGGAUUAGAUACCCCAGUAGUC